rnacentral:rRNA from 1 species
GACGAACGCUGGCGGCGUGCUUAACACAUGCAAGUCGAACGGAAAGGCCCCUUUGGGGGUACUCUAGUGGCGAACGGGUGAGUAACACGUGAGUAACCUUCCCUUGACUUCGGGAUAACUUCAGGAAACUGGGGCUAAUACCGGAUAGGAAUCCUUGCUGCAUGGUGGGGGUUGGAAAGCUUCGGCGGUUUUGGAUGGACUCGCGGCUUAUCAGCUUGUUGGUGGGGUAGUGGCUUACCAAGGCUUUGACGGGUAGCCGGCCUGAGAGGGCGACCGGCCACAUUGGGACUGAGAGAAGGCCCAGACGCCUACGGGAGGCAGCAGGGGGGAAGAUUGAACAAUGGGCGGAAGCCGGAUGCAGAAACGCCGCGGGCGGGAUGACGGCCUUCGGGUUGUAAAACGCUUUCAGCAGGGGCGAAGCUUGUGGUGACGGUACCUGCAGAAGAAGCACCGGCUAACUACGUG